rnacentral:rRNA from 1 species
AGAUUGAACGCUGGCGGCAUGCCUUACACAUGCAAGUCGAACGGCAGCACGGGGGCAACCCUGGUGGCGAGUGGCGAACGGGUGAGUAAUGCAUCGGAACGUGCCCAGUAGUGGGGGAUAACUAGUCAAAAGAUUAGCUAAUACCGCAUACGACCUAUGGGUGAAAGCGGGGGAUUCGCAAGAACCUCGCGCUAUCGGAGCGGCCGAUGUCUGAUUAGCUAGUUGGCGGGUAAAAGCCCACCAAGGCUUCGAUCAGUAGCUGGUCUGAGAGGACGACCAGCCACACUGGGACUGAGACACGGCCCAGACUCCUACGGGAGGCAGCAGUGGGGAAUUUUGGACAAUGGGCGCAAGCCUGAUCCAGCCAUGCCGCGUGCGGGAAGAAGGCCUUCGGUGUAAACCGCUUUUGGCAGGAACGAAACGGCGCGAGCGAAUAUCUCGCGUUAAUGACGGUACUGCAGAAUAAGCACCGGCUAACUACGUGCAGCACG